GCGAGUAUGCUGGAACUGGUAGACAGGCAUGUUUGAGGGGCAUGUGUCAACAUUGACGUGUGGGUUCGAGUCCCACUACUCGCACCA
rnacentral:tRNA from 1 species